rnacentral:rRNA from 1 species
AUUGAACGCUGGCGGCAUGCCUUACACAUGCAAGUCGAACGGCAGCACGGGAGCAAUCCUGGUGGCGAGUGGCGAACGGGUGAGUAAUGUAUCGGAACGUACCUUUCAGUGGGGGAUAACGUAGCGAAAGUUACGCUAAUACCGCAUAUUCUGUGAGCAGGAAAGCAGGGGAUCGCAAGACCUUGCGCUGAUUGAGCGGCCGAUAUCAGAUUAGCUAGUUGGUGAGGUAAAGGCUCACCAAGGCGACGAUCUGUAGCGGGUCUGAGAGGAUGAUCCGCCACACUGGAACUGAGACACGGUCCAGACUCCUACGGGAGGCAGCAGGUAGGGGUAAUUUUGGACAAGUGGGCGCAAGCCUGAUCCAGCCAUGCCGCGUGAGUGAAGAAG